UUUUAUCAAAAAACUGAUGCAGAACCUUGUGUAUGAGAGUUUAAGCAACUCGUCAAGGAACGUUUGGUAAUAAGUCGUUGUUGGUGUCGUAAUGGGAUACUGUUGCGUAUCAAGUGAGUAUUCUUGGUAACAAGGGGAAAGCCAGUGUAAAAGCAUUGGAGCGCAAAGAACGUGUGCAAAGUGUGACCAAAUGUAAGGUAGCGAACUUGUCGAGACGACAAUAGAAAGCUAGGUUGAUAAGACUUAGCCCCUCCGUAAAGAGAAUUGCUAAGGGAUUGGCAUUUAGCACUGACGGAAACAUCCAAAGAAGUCCUUCGCCGUGAAGUGAUUAGAAAUAAUCUAUAAGACAAGAAACGCGUGAGAGUAGCAGUAGGCGGUAAAUUAAAGGAUGAUACUCUAAUAUACCGAAUGCCCCUGUGAAAUUUGUAGGCUGUCAUGCCUGACCACAUCUCGUAAGGCUGCAAUAUGCCAGCGGUCGCUCCGACUGGUACGGUAUUGUAGAAUGUGUGACCGAACAACAUUGCAAUCACAUGGCGUAGAGAGAAAUACUCCGCAUAGUUUUUUGAUGAAG
rnacentral:sRNA from 1 species